AUGUGGUGUCUGGGGGGAGGGCAGGUGCUGCGGGUGGGGGAGUCUGCACAAGGCUCCGGGCUGUGCCCCGUUGUACCCUGGGAAUAGAAUGCGCCCUUUGACCACCCCCAGCCCACCCUGAGGCUUCCGCACCCCAUUGUGACGCCACCCCCCCCCCCCCGGCCACCAAGGGAACCCACACAUUCUGCCUCUGAGAGUCUGGCAGGCUUGCUAGCGUGCACCCCACCCUGUCUUCCACGGCUUGCGUGUGGCUUAGGAGAACGCACGUCGGUUACCAGAGUGAGUGUCGGGGCUUCCCUGGCUGGUGGCGUCCCAUCCUUGAAGCCAGCUACGGCCACCAGACUCCCUGCGACAGCAGCCUCUUCUCCUGACCCCGCCUCCUGCCACCCAGGAGAGGAUAAGCCACCUCCUGGAGCGUUAGGUCAGUCCGCACCGUCUACGUCGGCUUUCGCGGGUUGGAUUCCACACUCUGGGGUGAGUGGAAAGGGCGCCACCACGUGGGGCCCCCCAACCCCCCACGGAGUAAAUCAGAAGUAGCGCUGAGUCGCUCCCAGCCUAGGGAGCGGCUUGGCCACUUGCAGCCGUGUGGGCAUGCUGGCCUGCUGGCCAGGCUCUGGAAAGCAAGCCCAGAUGGACGUGACCGCUUCUGCCCGCAGCUAAGCCGCUAUGAGACUCAGUGGGGGGCCGGCGUGGGCCAGCCAGGGGAGAGGGGUCGCGUGCCUGGACUGCGGAGCUGGAGUCGCCGUGGGUGCAGACAGCAGCCCCUGGAGUGACGGGAGGGCAAGGGGUGCGCUCGGGUGCAGGCAGCCCACUCCUGCGUCCUGAGCGUCCUAGGGCUCGUUUCCUGCGUCGCGCGUGCAACAAGGGAACACUCAGCAUGAGCUACGGGAUCCACGCGGCUGUGGGAGACCGUGCCCCGUGGCUUUCCCGAGUGGGCCAGGAGCGCACGGGAGACCAGCCCUCUGCCAGCAGCAGGAUCCUGAUCCUUGUCACCUGCCUGCGUCUACAAACAGCUUCUCCCAGGAGCUUUUUCCACUUUAGGAUUUUCUUGUUUUUUUUUUUUUUUUUUUUUUUUUUUUUUUUUUUUUAUGGUUUAUUUAUUUAUUUACUUAUUUGAAAGGACAGAAUGAGAGACAGAGAGAGCAAGCGAGAGAUCAGUCUUCCAUCCCCUGGUUCACGUCCCAACUGGCUGUAAGAGCCAGGACUGGGCCAGGCCAAAGCCAGGAUCUUGGAACUCCAUCUGGGUCUCUCACGUGGGUGGCAGGGACCCAAGCACGGGGGCCGUCUGCCGCCUCCCCUCGCGCAUUGGCAGGGAGCUGGAUUGGAAGCAGAGCCGGCGUCGCAAGUUAACCCGCUGCACCGCAGCACCAGGCCCCGAGUUUCAUUUUUCAUUACUCAGAUUCUCAAGUUUAAAACUUUAUGGUUAGAAUAAAACAGCACAGGUUUUGUGCUCUACUUCC